rnacentral:rRNA from 1 species
ACUUGUUGAACAUACCCGUACCCGUUUGCUUCGGCGGGCGGCCCCAGGGAGGGGCCGCAGCCUCCAUUGCGGAGGCGCCCGCCGGAGGACACCAAAACAUACCUAUAUUUUUGUGGCCCUUCUGAGCGAUAGCGCAAAUAAUUAAAACUUUCAACAACGGAUCUCUUGGUUCUGGCAUCGAUGAAGAACGCAGCGAAAUGCGAUAAGUAAUGUGAAUUGCAGACUUCAGUGAAUCAUCGAAUCUUUGAACGCACAUUGCGCCCGCCAGCAUUCUGGCGGGCAUGCCUGUCCGAGCGUCAUUUCAACCCUCAAGCUCUGCUUGGUGUUGGGGCACUACGGUUGACGUAGGCCCUGAAAAUUAGUGGCGGGCUCGCUGUGGGUCCGGGCGUAGUAGCGAUAUCUCGCCUGCGGCCCCCAGCAAGCUCCAGCCGUUAAACCCCCCAAAUUACAGAAGGUUGACCUCGGAUCAGGUAGGACUACCCGCUGAACUUAAGCAUAUCAAUAAGCGGA